UAUUAUUUUAACUGUUAAUUUAUUACUUGAGUAGUACUAGGUUAGAUCUUGAAACUCAAAGAAUUUGGCGGUAUUUUAGUCUUUUCAGAGGAAUCUGUCCAGUAAUUGAUAAUACACAUUUUAUGUUACUUAAUUUUGUAUACAGUUUGUAUAUCGUCGUCAGAAGAUUAUCUUUUUAGAGGUUUAAUUUUCUAGAUAUUAAUAAAAUAAGAUGACAGAUCAAGGUGCAGCUUAUAAUUAAGGUGAGAUGGAUUACAAUAUAUUUAUUUAUUACGAAUCUUUUAAUUAGAUUUAUAAGUGAAGGUGGAUUUGGGAGUAAUUUUAUUAAAUUAUAGUAUUUUGAUGUAAGCUCUAUAAUGUGUACAAAUCGCCCGUCGCUCUCAUGAUAAAUGAG
rnacentral:rRNA from 1 species